rnacentral:lncRNA from 1 species
AUGCCACGGAUCUGGAAUCUCUGCAAGGUCAAAGCAGCGGGGCUGAGGUCUGUGGAGCUGCUCCAGAUUUACUGUUUAUGCUUCCAGACCCUGAGUGCCAGCUGGCUCCAGGUGGAAAAACGACCCAAGAAGAAGGAACAUAAAAGUUGCAAAAUCGUUUUUGAAGAGUCUUCCCCCCACCUGAAUCCUGAUGAAAGAUGUUUUUUUUUGCAGAAUGGGAAGGAGCAGCCCUGGCUCCCGAUGCCAGCCUGCCCCGCUCGGCUCUCCCAGAUGAAGAUGUUUAUUCCAGCUCGUCGGGAAGAUUCUCUUGGCGUUGCCUCCAAAGCCAUUAUGCAGGUGAUUAACCCAUUUAUUUUCAGCUGCGUGCCUUGUCAAACGCGGCAGAACAAACGCCAGGGGAUGAAAGCAGAGUUCCCAUUUCGGGGCCGGCCCUUUCUCUCCCCUUUGGGGGAAUUUUGCUGCAAUUGCAGCGAGGAAUUUGCCACAUCUGCUGCAGCUCCUGCAGGCUCCGAGCGCUGCCUGAGCCCGGCUCCGAUGGAAAUGGGGAUUCGGCUGGAUAUUGCAUUUCCUCGGACUUCAAAAUGCAAAUUGCAGCCGGCUUGGACAGAGCCAGCCUUGGAUGUGGGAGCUGCGAUUCCAAAGUUAUUCCAUCAAAUGGGAGUCAGGGAUCCGCAGCUCAGUUUCUGUUCCAGCCGCUGGUUGUGGCGCUAAGGGAGGCAAUAAUCUGUUUAUUCUCCUGUCAUUGUGUUAAUCAGCUUUUAAUUUAAGGCUGUGUCAGGAGUGGUUGGAGAUCUCUGUUGCUGUGAAUACCCGAGCACAGAGAGAUGUGCACGCACUCUGAAAAUGUGCCUGGGAUCAGAUCUCAGGGGCUCCUCUGCUGCUGCCUGAUGGAGAUAUAAUUGGGAGAAUAUAAAGAGAGAUUGUUUGGAGGUAACCAAAGAAACCCUGGCACUAGCCGUGUUUUAAAUCAUCAGCUACCUUGAACACGGGUAAUAAAACACAGUGUAACACAUAUUUUCA